rnacentral:lncRNA from 8 species
AAGAAAUAAAAGCUGAAAUAAAUCAUUCUCUCUACUAUUAUUCUGACAUUUCACAUUCUUAAAAUAAAGUGGUGAUCUUAACUGACCUAAGACAGGGAAUCUUUACUAGGAUUAAAUGUCAGGAAUUGUGAAAAACUGAGUUUAAAUGUAUUUGGCUAAGGUGUAUGUAAACUUCCGACUUCAACUGUAUAUGCAUGUGCAAAAUGUAAUCAUAUAAUUAUAUAUAUAAUUAUAUAUUAUAUAAUAUAUUAUAUAAUAAUUAUAAUCAUAUCUCCAACUAUUACAAUACAAACUUUCUGUAUUGCAAUAAUGUGUUGAAAAGGUCAUAUUAAGGAGUUAUAAUGCCCUCAGUCUGCAUCUACAGAAGCCUAUUUCCACUAAAUUAAAUGACCAUGUGAGAGUAGAGAGUGGUGCACACUUGAUCCCUUGAGGCGAAGGUCCCUGUCUGUUGAGCACUCCCCCUAGAGGAAGUGAGCCACGGUGUCGUAGGCCAUGUAAAUGGUCGAGUCAGACAGGGACUCGAUUAGCCACUGCUGGUCCCAUGGCAACCUUGUUCCUAUAGCAACAAGCACACCGGACAAAAAAAAAACCUAGAAAGAAAAACAAUCAACCACCUUCUAGUGUGAACGGUCAUAGGUACGAGAGCAGGCAUGCUCCUGGAGCCAGUCCAGAGUGGCCUCACAGUUCUUUCUCAUCUCAUCACCUAAAGAGUGUGUGGUCACAGAGUGCCACCACACAUCACCUGCUUCUCUGGCUCCAUAGAUAUCAAAGCUUGGCCCUGGAACAUUGGUAGAGGUCCAGGUUAGAACACACUAAUGCAUAACAAAGAAACGUAUCAAACACAUCAGCAAACAGCCCACGUCAACAACCGUAGCAAAGAGCCCACGUCAACAACUGUAGCAAACAGCCCACGUCAACAACCGUAGCAAACAGCCCACGUCAACAACCGUAGCAAAGAGCCCACGUCAACAACCGUAGCAAACAGCCCACGUCAACAACCGUAGCAAACAGCCCACGUCAACAACCGUAGCAAACAGCCCACGUCAACAACCGUAGCAAACAGCCCACGUCAACAACCGUAGCAAACAGCCCACGUCAACAACCGUAGCAAAGAGCCCACGUCAACAACCGUAGUAAACAGCCCACGUCAACAACCGUAGCAAACAGCCCACGUCAACAACCGUAGCAAACAGCCCACGUCAACAACCGUAGCAAACAGCCCACGUCAACAACCGUAGCAAACAGCCCACGUCAACAACCGUAGCAAACAGCCCACGUCAACAACCGUAGCAAACAGCCCACGUCAACAACCGUAGCAAACAGCCCACGUCAACAACCGUAGCAAAGAGCCCACGUCAACAACCAA